CUAUUCACACCCAUGGAAACCGCCCCGUGGAGUCCUGGCGUGGGGCCAUGGUGCGAGCUCCACUUGUCCUAGGAGGCGGGCCAGCUCAGGAGCUCCCUGGUGGUCUGAGUCCCAACCCAAAUCUCCCUUUUGUUUCCCAGAUGGCUUUUUCCCAAGCUCUUGGAAACUAAUCAAAGUAAUGUUAAAUGAGAAAUGAUCACGCGGUCUGUACGGACCCCACACUUUGACUCAAAGCCUGGCCUUCUGGACUGGCCCCCUACGCUCAGUGCCAGUGUCCCUCGGCUCCUUUUGGAGCAGUGUUGGACUGAGCAGCCUGCGAUGGGACCGCCCAAGCUCAGCUUUCUUGUUGGCUGUGUCUGUCUAGAACCUGUGUGCUUACCUUUCUCCUGUCCUCCUACGUCCCCUCCCCAGCGUGACAGCAGUUACCUCUGGCGAGAGGAGGGAGCAAGACCGCGGAAGGAACAAAGACAGCCUCAACUUUAUCUGCAAUCUUCUAUUUCCGUUAUAAAAUUAAGUUUGUGUUGAGGAGUUGCUUAUACACAGGCGCCGUGAGAGAGGUGCUACGUGGAGAGCUGUUUGGACCUGGGCCCUACGCUUUAUAAAGAGAUGACACUGGAAGGCGCAAACUCUGUGAACAGAGUCAUUUGAGGAGCAGAAUAAAAACGUUUAACGCCGUGGCAUAGAAUGAAACUAUAUUGUCUUGAAUUCCAGCUAGGUCAAAGUUACAGGACAGCCUUCGUUUACAUGGGGCCCCGUGAUAGCGUUCGGCCUUCUAUCACUGUGAGUACUGUUGAGAACUCUUCUUUUCUGGGCAUCCCACGGAAAUGAAAGCAGCACUGCCUGAGCCAAAGGGAAGAUACACACCAACCGACACCAGCUCUGGUGGGGGCAGCGGCCUUACGUUAUAAGGGGGACAGCUUAAGGAUUCAGAGAAAAGCUUGUAUGACUUUUUAUCAACAUGAAAAACUAAUCGAAGACAAAAAGCAAAUAAUUAGUAAGACCAAGUGAAGAAUGCGUG
rnacentral:lncRNA from 1 species